rnacentral:rRNA from 1 species
AACGAACGCUGGCGGCAUGCCUAACACAUGCAAGUCGAACGAACCCUUCGGGGUUAGUGGCGCACGGGUGCGUAACGCGUGGGAAUCUGCCCUUUGCUUCGGAAAUAACUCAGGGAAACUUGUGCUAAUACCGGAUGAUGUCUUCGGACCAAAGAUUUAUCGGCAAGGGAUGAGCCCGCGUAGGAUUAGGUAGUUGGUGGGGUAAAGGCCUACCAAGCCGACGAUCCUUAGCUGGUCUGAGAGGAUGAUCAGCCACACUGGGACUGAGACACGGCCCAGACUCCUACGGGAGGCAGCAGUGGGGAAUAUUGGACAAUGGGCGCAAGCCUGAUCCAGCAAUGCCGCGUGAGUGAUGAAGGCCCUCGGGUCGUAAAGCUCUUUUACCAGGGAUGAUAAUGACAGUACCUGGAGAAUAAGCUCCGGCUAACUCCGUG